rnacentral:rRNA from 1 species
GAUGAACGCUGGCGGCGUGCCUAAUACAUGCAAGUCGAGCGAACGGACGAGAAGCUUGCUUUUCUGAUGUUAGCGGCGGACGGGUGAGUAACACGUGGAUAACCUACCUAUAAGACUGGGAUAACUUCGGGAAACCGGAGCUAAUACCGGAUAAUAUUUUGAACCGCAUGGUUCAAAAGUGAAAGACGGUCUUGCUGUCACUUAUAGAUGGAUCCGCGCUGCAUUAGCUAGUUGGUAAGGUAACGGCUUACCAAGGCAACGAUGCAUAGCCGACCUGAGAGGGUGAUCGGCCACACUGGAACUGAGACACGGUCCAGACUCCUACGGGAGGCAGCAGUAGGGAAUCUUCCGCAAUGGGCGAAAGCCUGACGGAGCAACGCCGCGUGAGUGAUGAAGGUCUUCGGAUCGUAAAACUCUGUUAUUAGGGAAGAACAUAUGUGUAAGUAACUGUGCACAUCUUGACGGUACCUAAUCAGAAAGCCACGGCUAACUACGUGCCAGCAGCCGCGGUAAUACGCAGGUGGCAAGCGUUAUCCGGAAUUAUUGGGCGUAAAGCGCGCGUAGGCGGUUUUUUAAGUCUGAUGUGAAAGCCCACGGCUCAACCGUGGAGGGUCAUUGGAAACUGGAAAACUUGAGUGCAGAAGAGGAAAGUGGAAUUCCAUGUGUAGCGGUGAAAUGCGCAGAGAUAUGGAGGAACACCAGUGGCGAAGGCGACUUUCUGGUCUGUAACUGACGCUGAUGUGCGAAAGCGUGGGGAUCAAACAGGAUUAGAUACCCUGGUAGUCCACGCCGUAAACGAUGAGUGCUAAGUGUUAGGGGGUUUCCGCCCCUUAGUGCUGCAGCUAACGCAUUAAGCACUCCGCCUGGGGAGUACGACCGCAAGGUUGAAACUCAAAGGAAUUGACGGGGACCCGCACAAGCGGUGGAGCAUGUGGUUUAAUUCGAAGCAACGCGAAGAACCUUACCAAAUCUUGACAUCCUUUGACAACUCUAGAGAUAGAGCUUUCCCCUUCGGGGGACAAAGUGACAGGUGGUGCAUGGUUGUCGUCAGCUCGUGUCGUGAGAUGUUGGGUUAAGUCCCGCAACGAGCGCAACCCUUAAGCUUAGUUGCCAUCAUUAAGUUGGGCACUCUAAGUUGACUGCCGGUGACAAACCGGAGGAGGGUGGGGAUGACGUCAAAUCAUCAUGCCCCUUAUGAUUUGGGCUACACACGUGCUACAAUGGACAAUACAAAGGGCAGCGAAACCGCGAGGUCAAGCAAAUCCCAUAAAGUUGUUCUCAGUUCGGAUUGUAGUCUGCAACUCGACUACAUGAAGCUGGAAUCGCUAGUAAUCGUAGAUCAGCAUGCUACGGUGAAUACGUUCCCGGGUCU